rnacentral:lncRNA from 1 species
UCCCUGACACUAGACGCCACCCUCUUCAACGACCGCCCGCCCGAAAGGAGAAAAGAAAGAGACAACGCCACACAUGAAACCCCUCGACACACGGCCCCAAAGCCACAAGGAAGGGAAUGAAAAGGAACGCUGAGCAUCAGAAAGAGCGACACAAGCAUGUGCAGGAAACCCGGACCUUCCGUGGGAGAUGUGCUGGCUCAGGGCUAUCGUUUCCCAAACCGAUGGUCACCCAUGAGAGGUGUGGGCUCGGAUGGAAAAUCCCCAACUACAAGUCUGUCCUGAGGUGAACCCAGCAGGCAGGUCAACGGCAAAACCACGCUUUGGCACCGAGGGCGUGGGGUCUGUUAUUGCAGCAAGUAUGUUUCUGAUGCAAAUUCCCUGAUGACCCAGCAAAUUGUUUAUCUAACUUAAACGUAACUGUUUCCCCAAAGUCGGUCAACCUGCGGCGUUAUUCCUUCCAGGUGUAGGCUCUGUCACCUCCUCCCCACAGGAAAAGCUGCAGCCUCUCCUCUGCUGGGAGACUUAAGGCGCCUGGGGGGUAGGAAUUCAGUGAGAAGGGGUGAUUUAUAAUAGAUCUGAAUGCUGAUCUGCACCAAUAACAAGCCGGGGGUGGGGUGGGGUGGGGGUGAAGGGGCCAGGGUUGAUUUAGUGAUCCCCUCGCAUGGAAGGAGGACCUUAUGACAAACAACUGCCUCGGUCACAGGAGUCAAAGCAGUUAUGGCCUGGAGCCAGCAGGGCAUUCUUUUCUCAUGUAUAAACAACAUUUAUCAUUUCAUCUCGAAAAAUAUUUGCCCUUAAUAUUUGGUAGAGACGCACGCAAAGGCUGCCUCUGGUCCUCCCACUAAUACCCCCCUAGAGCCAAGUGGUUGGGAUGUUUUUUAGCACAGACCAUACAUAAUAGCAUCUCUACCCAAAGCAACUUAUCCACUGAGAAUAUCAGCAAAAAGAGUUGGGUGGGUUUAGGUUGGAGGAGGAAGCCAUCUUCGUUUUCAAAAAAAAAAAAAAAUAGAUACAGUUAAGGUAAAUUUUAUGGGUAAUUAGAAUGAGGUUGAAUCUCAACUUUACUGAGAUCAAAUUCACAUGCCAUCAAAUUCACCCAUUUCAAGUACAAUUCAAUGGUCUUUAGUAUAUUCACAUUUACCACUGGUAUUCCGUAUAUUCACAUGCAACUGUGAAACCAUCACUACAGUUUGUAAUUUUAGAACCUUUCUGUUCCCUCCCC